rnacentral:rRNA from 1 species
AUUGAACGCUGGCGGCAUGCCUUACACAUGCAAGUCGAACGGCAGCACGGGUGCUUGCCCCUGGUGGCGAGUGGCGAACGGGUGAGUAAUACAUCGGAACAUGUCCUGUAGUGGGGGAUAGCCCGGCGAAAGCCGGAUUAAUACCGCAUACGAUCUACGGAUGAAAGCGGGGGACCUUCGGGCCUCGCGCUAUGGGGUUGGCCGAUGGCUGAUUAGCUAGUUGGUGGGGUAAAGGCCUACCAAGGCGACGAUCAGUAGCUGGUCUGAGAGGACGACCAGCCACACUGGGACUGAGACACGGCCCAGACUCCUACGGGAGGCAGCAGUGGGGAAUUUUGGACAAUGGGCGAAAGCCUGAUCGAGCAAUGCCGCGUGUGUGAAGAAGGCCUUCGGGUUGUAAAGCACUGUUGUCCGGAAAGAAAACCUUGGUCCUAAUACGGGCGGGGGAUGACGGUACCGGAAGAAUAAGCACCGGCUAACUACGUG